rnacentral:rRNA from 1 species
AGAGUUUGAUCCUGGCUCAGAACGAACGCUGGCGGCGUGCCUAACACAUGCAAGUCGAGCGAGAACGGGACCUUCGGGUCCUUAGUACAGCGGCGCACGGGUGAGUAACACGUGGGCAACCUGCCCUCGGGUUGGGGAUAACGUCUCGAAAGGGGCGCUAAUACCGAAAUAAGACCACAGAGACCCCGGUCUCAGUGGUAAAAGUGGCUUCGGUCACGCCUGAGGAUGGGCCCGCGUACCAUUAGCUUGAUGGUGGGGUAACGGCCUACCAUUUUGGCUUCGAUGGUUAGCUGGUCUGAGAGGAUGAUCAGCCACACUGGAACUGAAACACGGUCCAGACUCCUACGGGAGGCAGCAGUGAGGAAUUUUGCGCAAUGGGGGAAACCCUGACGCAGCAACGCCGCGUGAGUGAUGAAGGCCCUUCGGGUUGUAAAGCUCUGUCAGGAGGGAAGAACUAUUUAUGGUAACGCAUAAAAGUGACGUGUACCUCCAAAGGAAGCACAGGCUAACUCCGUGCCAGCAGCCGCGGUAAUACGGAGUGUGCAAGCGUUGUUCGGAAUCAUUGGGCGUAAAGCGCGUGCAGGCGGCUCUGUAAGUCAGGUGUGAAAGCCCCCGGCUCAACCGGGGAAGUGCACUUGAAACUACAGAACUUGAGUACGGCAGGGGGGAGCAGAAUUCCCAGUGUAGAGGUGAAAUUCGUAGAUAUUGGGAGGAAUACCAGUGGCGAAGGCGGCUCCCUGGACCAGUACUGACGCUCAGACGCGAAAGCGUGGGUAGCAAACAGGAUUAGAUACCCUGGUAGUCCACGCUGUAAACGAUGGGUACUAGGUGUUGUGGGUAUUGACCCCUACAGUGCCGCAGCUAACGCAUUAAGUACCCCGCCUGGGGAGUACGGCCGCAAGGCUAAAACUCAAAGGAAUUGACGG